AACGAACGCUGGCGGCAUGCCUAACACAUGCAAGUCGAACGAGACCUUCGGGUCUAGUGGCGCACGGGUGCGUAACGCGUGGGAAUCUACCCUCAGGUUCGGAAUAACUCAGAGAAAUUUGAGCUAAUACCGGAUGAUGACGUAAGUCCAAAGAUUUAUCGCCUGAGGAUGAGCCCGCUUAGGAUUAGGUAGUUGGUGAGGUAAAGGCUCACCAAGCCGACGAUCCUUAGCUGGUCUGAGAGGAUGAUCAGCCACACUGGGACUGAGACGCGGCCCAGACUCCUACGGGAGGCAGCAGUGGGGAAUAUUGGACAAUGGGCGAAAGCCUGAUCCAGCAAUGCCGCGUGAGUGAUGAAGGCCUUAGGGUUGUAAAGCUCUUUUACCCGGGAUGAUAAUGACAGUACCGGGAGAAUAAGCUCCGGCUAACUCCGUG
rnacentral:rRNA from 1 species